UGAGGAUGGACCUUCCAAGAUAUCCUAGAAAAUGGAAAACAGUAGAGGAAUUAUGGCAGACCCUGAGGAAGCUGGGGAUGAGGCAGGCCAUGAAUGCACGCCAAUCUGAGGGUAUGGCAGACGCUGUGUUCACUGAAGAAAUGAAGGGAAAUAGCUGGCAAGCUGUUCCCAGCCUGGGAUAGUGCUUUAGUCUCCAGGCUGGGUCCUUGGGGGGGGCCCUGUGUGGGGCUGUUUCUGGCCUUGGUGAGGUAAGGAAGAAGAGAGAAGGUAGGAAAGGUGGAGAGAAGCAGAGGUCUGCCGCUAGCAAAUACUAAGGCUUUCUCAACAUAACUGGAAAGUCGAUGCAGGUGGACCUGUCAGCUGUGGGCCAGGUUGAGAGCCAGCCAAAUGUCUGGGAGGCUGUUGAGAAAAGGUAACACCCACACAACAGAUCAUCUGCCUUUGCCCCGCAGCAAAGCCUGUGGCUGACACAGGACAUCAGGUGCAUGUCACCUUCUGCAGGGACUAGGUGGGGCCAAAGUCACCCCAAGUACGGCCGGGGAGGACGGCCCUAUUCGUGGGGCCCUGCAACAACCAGAGAGUGUAUCCUUGGCUGAUAUUUGUGCUGAGGGCACCCUCACCCACGGGAACUGCAGCUGAUUCCAGGGCCCAAUAACUACUCAAGGGGCUAGGGUGCUGGCCGUUGAAGGGGGGUUGAUUAUGCAAAGGGGCAGCACCCUCCGGGCGGCAUUUGGUUUUUAUCUCCCCCAUACCAGAAUGUAUAUAUUCUGGAAGAUUUCCAUGUCUGGAGUUUGACUCUACAGACUGUAAGGGAAUUCAGGUUCCAGGUUAGAGUGGUAAAACUUCUGCAAGAUGAAGCCAGAAUUCUCUGGGGCCUCCAAGGAGCCUCCCUGGUGAACAUGAGAAGACGGGAGAGACUAAACGGGAGUUGUACAGAACGGGCACGCUGGGCAUGUCCAGGGCGGUUUGAACAGCCCUGUAUGGCCAGUCCAAAAGCCAUGGGUCAUGAGAGGUCAGCAAAGCAGUCCUCUAUUUACUCUUCUGUACCAUGCGGAAAUCUCGGGGUACCUAGCAAACCACCUAGGUACACAUCGUGCAGUUCUUGCUUUGGUUAAUGCCUUUGGGGCCUCCUCCUGGCCCAGAAGCCUUCACAUGGGAGGUCGCAGUCCAGGGGCUGCCCCAGCACGAUUUUCACAGCCCACCAUCUGCCUCCAUAGAGCAGCCCUGCAGCUCAGCAUGUUCCAUUCCAUGAAGCCGUCCAAAGGCUCCAUCACACCGAGGACAUACUAACUUGUGAGACAGUUUCUCCUAUGCCUCAAGUGGAUACCUUCAAGAAAGGGGAUGGUAAAAUCUAUCCAAAAGGACCCGGUACAGUCAUGAAGUUCCUCAGGGCUUUAUGUUCAGAUUGUGUCUCCAGGGAAGUUCAUUGUCAACCUUCCUGGCUUCUUCCAAAAUGUAAAAUCUCCCACCCCCCCACCCCCCAUGUUCUUGCACAGGGAACCCUGCAGAAGAUUCCUACAGAAAGAACAUAUAAUAUCGGUCCUGAUCUAUGGUGUGGAGAUCUACUACUGUCCUGCCACCACCCAGGGCUGAUCUUAAGAAUAAACUCCUGUAAGAAACCCCUAUCUAUAUCUAUCUAGAUCACCAUGCUGACUGCUUGAUACCUCCUCAUUUUGGGGGGUAUCUAGAUCACCCCGUUACAUAUGAUCACGUUACCAGAGGUGAUGUCAGAUAUACCAAAGUGCCUACAGAUGAUGGUAGAAGAUGGAGCAGAGAGGAAACCAGGAGCCUAAAGUCAUUGAGAAAGUUUGGAGACAGAGUCUGAGGUCUGCAAAUGAACACAAGGAGAGUAUUUUAAAGUUCUGAAUUAACAUUCUUCCCUUAACAGGCUAUGCCUUUUUAAUUUGCAUAGAGGCCAACUUUUAGUUAGGAGCUAAAAACAAAAAAGCCACAAAUAACACACAGAGAGAAUUUUCAAUUACCCUUGCUCAUGGGAGGGAAGGGGAAGACAUUCAGAGACCCUUAUAUGGGGUCGCAUAACUGAUUGUGGGCAUUGCAAAAUUAUGAUUUAUUAUCGGUAAAUGUUUGAUUUGUAUACUUAUUUUAUAUACCUAACUACCUGGUUUCACAUAAAAAUUACUCAGGAAAAAAAGGGGUUGCAAGUGGAAAUACUUUAAGAAUCCCUUAUCUUAAGCAUCAACUUGUCUUUUCAAAUUAUAACGUGCCUUCUGUUUUAGAAUACCCUUUAAAACCAGCAUUGGACCACACUUCUCUGGUACAAGGAAAUAAAGUUGAACACAUUUUGUUGCUUAACCUGCUAGUCUUGGUUAAAUAAAGCUGUUGUUUCUAUUAGCCAAGCAUAGGAAACUCCUAGAUACAGGCUGAUACAUGCCUUAGAUUUUGGGAAAGCAGUAUCAAAGAGCUGAAGGAGGGAGUAGGUUUCUUUUUUUUCCUUUUCUUUUUUUGAUUUUUUAAAACUUUUUUUUGAAUUCAAUAGUAUUUUGUUUUUCCAAUUACAUAUAAAGAUAGUUUUCAACAUUUAUUUUUAUAAGAUUUUGAAUUCUGAAUUUUUUCUUCCUCCUCUUACUUUCCCCCUUCCUAAGACAGCAAGUAAUAUGAUGUAGAUUAUAUAUGUACAGUCAUUUUAAACAUAUUUCCAUUUUACUGAUGUAAAAGAAAAAUCAGACUAAUAUGGCGAGACUGCUAGACUGAUAGAGAAAGAAAGCACCAUAGACAUAUGUGUCUAGAUUUCAGCAAAAUAUUUGCCAAAGUCUUUCAUGUUAUCCUUGUGAAAAGAUGGAAAAGAUGUGGCUAAAUAGUAUAAUUAGAUGGGAUGGGAGCUACAUGAGUGAUCAAACACCAAGAGUCAUUAAUGGAUUGAUCUCAGCUUGGAGGAGCUCUAGUAGAGUGUUCCUGAAAUCUGUCUUUAGCUUUGUGCCACUGAAAAUUUCUUUUUUUAAUGAUAAGUAUGAAGGAAUGGAUGGAGUACUUAAAUGUGCAGAUAAAACAAAGCUGGGAGAGAUAGUUAAGAACAUUAAUAGUGUCGGUACCAUCUUGGUAGGCUAGAAUACUAGGCAGAAUCUAAUAUGAGAAUAAAAGUGAAGUUCUAAAUUUGGAUUAAAUAAUAAACUUCAUGGUACAAGAUUGGUGAAGUGCGACUAAACAGAUGUUUAUAUGAGAAGGAUCUGGAGAUUUUGGUGGAUCACAAUGAAUGAAUGAAAAAAAAAAACAUUUAAGUAUUAACCAUGUGCCAAGUACUAUAUUAAGUGAUAGAAAUAUAAAUGGAAGAAAGAAAGACAAUUCCUGCUUUCAAGUAGAUCCCAUUAAUUCUAAUAAGGGAAGUGGUGAUCAGUGGUCAGGGGGAAUGGUAAUGUUUAUUUGACUAAUGUUUUCAGAACUAUCUGAAACAGUAUGAUAUGGCAGAAAGUUCUAUUUUAAUAUUAAUAAUGAAAGCUUAUUUGAUAUGAUAGUAAAUGGAAAGUAAAAGACAGUAAAAAAAUUAAACAUAAAAGAUGAGCUAUUCCCUGUUAUUAUUCUAAAACAUCAGCUAAAGUCAGAGCAGUUAAAAAAAAUAAAUUUUACCUUUUCUCAAUGAUCAGUUAAUCUUCCAGAAGGUGAAAGAAAUAUUGAGGGGUAUUGCUAGUCAGGUUCUGGAAGAGAAGUGAAACGUAAGAAGCAGUAUUUAAUAUCAUUGAAUUCCCAACAGCUAGGGAAGGAAUGUUUGAUACGAUCUGAACGUGUACUUCUGGUUUGGGAAGAUCUAAUUUCAGAGUUCCGGGAAUGAAUAGAGAGUUAUGACAUUAUGAUGUGGGACUUUAAAAGAGUAGUCAGUCCAAAAGGGAUGAGAGUGAAACUGACUAUCUAGUUGCAAUUGAGUAUGUUGGGUAAGAAGAAAAAGGAGAAAAGUACAAAAAAGAUAACAUAGUCAUAGAGGGAACUAACUCAUCCAUGCACUCAGAUUAUUUUAAACUUUUUUUUUAAGUUUUAAUAUGUACUUUAAAAUUUUUUUGAGUUCCAUAAUUUUUUUCUUUCUCCCUCUUCUUUCUCUCUCCUUGAGAAGAUGAGUAAUUUGAUAUAAACUAUACAAUUUCAAUCAUACAAAA